UUAUUAUAUUCUGACAAAGUGACAAUUGCUCAUAAAAUAUUUAAUAAUGUGCUUUAAAAACUAGGAAAAAUAACUUGCAGAACAUAUAUUACAUUUUAAAUAAUGAUUUGGUUUAAUGCAAGAUUGAUGAUGUAUGGAGUUUAUAAAUCGUUUUGAAAUCAGCCUUCACUCGAAUGUUUCUGUAACUAAGAAUGAUUAUGUCACCACUCUUGUGGAGGGAGGGUUCUCAUGGGAAGUUAAGUUAUUGUCUUAAAUCAAUAUGCCCGGUGCUUGUGACACUGGUAAGGCAACACAUAUCAACACACACAGUGACAAAUGGUCGCCUCUUAAGCUGAUUUCAAGGUGCAAAUAGAAUCUGCUUUUUAUCCAUUUGCCUUCUGUAGAGAACAAAUCCUUCCAUUUCACAGUUGAGGGAUACAACACUUGAAGUAUCAAUGACCUGGGACAGGUAUCACAUUGCUUUCCAGUCUCUUAUAAUAGAUUCCAUUAUUAAAAGAAGAUAAGGAUGAGAGCCAAAGAGGGGAACACACCUCCAGGGGAAGCUGAAAGCCAGAAGACAGAAAGCAGAUGGAGGGAGAAUAAAAACAUAAUGAGGCAUGAAAAUUCUAGGGAGUGAGAGGACUUAGUUGACAAAUUUGAGCAUUUUGAAACAACUAGCAGUUGGUUUAUGGUGACUGUAAUGAGGUAAUUAAGAAGGGAAAUUAAGGAUAGGUUUAUUUAAAACUACGUAAGUUAAAAUGAGGCAAUUAUUAACGUGAGAAAAUAUAAACAUAAUAAAACAUCUGUCUCUAAUGAACAAUAUUCACCAAGUUACAUUAAUGUAUAAUGUGAUUUUCUAUAACUGAAAUAAUGAUAUAAUUAAACUGGGUAGGAAGACACAGGGAAAUGGUCAUGUGCAAUGAGACUGCAUCUACCAUAACAGGAAGUACACAGUUGGUAUCCAAAAAUUACAAAUUUAGAAAUAGCAGCAUAAAUCAUUUAUUUAGAAAUAUGAAAAUAAGAAACACUAAAAACAACAUAGACAGAGUACUUGGGCUGACAAAGCCAGGCUGCCACUGGCUUCCCAGGGCUGACACAAAGAGCACAUGAACAGAAUAGUUAUGGUGGCAGACAUAGAGGCUAUGCAUAUGUCCAACGGCAUGAAUGCAUAUUCACCAAGGCGUGUGUAGCUACUGCUGAAUGCCCAACCUUCCAAUAACAGAGACUAACACUGAAUUUCCAAUAUAGUACCAUGCUUUGAAGAGAACUACUAGCUAUUGAUAGCAAAUUGAUUACACUGGACCCCUUUCAUCUAGGAAAGAGAACUGGUUCAUCUUACCUGAAACUGGUUAGUAGUAUCAAUAUGAGAUCGUCUUCUCUGCUUGUAUGGCCUCAGGCAGAACUACCACCAUAGAAGAGUCUGAAUAACAUGGUUUUGAGCCAAGAAACCCACUUUGCAGCAAGGAGGUGUACUUGUUAGGGUUCUCCAAAGAAACAAUUAAUAGGAUGUGUGUGUGUGCAUGCGUGUGUGUCUGUGUGUAUGAUUUAUUAUAAGGAAUUUGUUCAUGCAAUUAUGAUGGCUGGCAAGUCCAAAAUCUGCAGAGCCAGUAUCUAGUUUGAGUCCAAAGGCCAAAAGCUUCUGUAGAACCAGGAAGAGCUGAUGUUCCAGUUUGAAGACCACCAGGCAGGGGAAUUAUCUCUUACUCAGGGGAGGGACAUCCUUUUGUUCUGUUCAUGCUUUCAACUGAUUGGAAAAGGCCCAUCUACGUAAGGGAGGGCAAUAUGCUUUACUCAGUCUACCAAUUUAAAUAUUAAUCUCAUCCAAAACACCUUCACAGAAACACCCAGAAUAAAGUUUGACCAAACAUCUAGGCACCCUGUGGCCUGUUCAAGUUGACAUAUAAAAUUAACUAUCACAGAGGGUGUAGCAGUCAUAGCAGUGGACAUGUGGUUAUGCAAGUCACCUGCACACAGAAGCUGCCAGUUGGAUAGAGUAACAGAUGGCCAUUUUAACAGCACAGAUGAGGCACUAGCUUGAAGGUGAUACUCUGAGGUACACCUUGAAUCAAUGAUGUUUAUAUGGUGCUGUGUUUCCAAUAGGUAGACUAUGUGGGUGCAGAGACAAGUGUAGAAGAGAGUGACUCUGCUUCCAGGUACCCACUUGAAGAAGUUGUGCUUCCCAUAACUGCAAUUCUGGACAUUUUUGGUUUAAAGGUCCUGAUUCCUAUAGGGGUAAUGUGUCCACCAGGGACAGAGAAAUUUCUGAUUCCUAUUAACUUUGAGUUGUGGCUGCCAUCUGGUCAUUUCAGACUUUUUAUUUA
rnacentral:lncRNA from 1 species